AUUGAACGCUGGCGGAAUGCUUUACACAUGCAAGUCGAACGGCAGCACGGGGCAACCUGGUGGCGAGUGGCGAACGGGUGAGUAAUACAUCGGAACGUGCCCAAUCGUGGGGGAUAACGUAGCGAAAGUUACGCUAAUACCGCAUACGAUCUACGGAUGAAAGCGGGGGAUCGCAAGACCUCGCGCGAAUGGAGCGGCCGAUGUCAGAUUAGGUAGUUGGUGGGGUAAAGGCUCACCAAGCCAACGAUCUGUAGCUGGUCUGAGAGGACGACCAGCCACACUGGAACUGAGACACGGUCCAGACUCCUACGGGAGGCAGCAGUGGGGAAUUUUGGACAAUGGGCGCAAGCCUGAUCCAGCCAUUCCGCGUGCAGGAUGAAGGCCUUCGGGUUGUAAACUGCUUUGUACGGUAACGAAACGGUACUGCCCUAAUACGGCGGGCUAAUGACGGUACCGCAAGAAUAAGCACCGGCUAACUACGUAGCCAGCAGCCGCGGUAA
rnacentral:rRNA from 1 species